AUUGAACGCUGGCGGCAUGCUUUACACAUGCAAGUCGAACGGUAACAGGCCGCAAGGUGCUGACGAGUGGCGAACGGGUGAGUAAUGCAUCGGAACGUGCCCAGUCGUGGGGGAUAACGCAGCGAAAGCUGUGCUAAUACCGCAUACGAUCUAUGGAUGAAAGCGGGGGACCGUAAGGCCUCGCGCGAUUGGAGCGGCCGAUGUCAGAUUAGGUAGUUGGUGGGGUAAAGGCUCACCAAGCCAACGAUCUGUAGCUGGUCUGAGAGGACGACCAGCCACACUGGGACCGGGACACGGCCCAGACUCCUACGGGAGGCAGCAGUGGGGAAUUUUGGACAAUGGGCGCAAGCCUGAUUCAGCAAUGCCGCGUGCAGGAAGAAGGCCUUCGGGUUGUAAACUGCUUUUGUACGGAACGAAAAGGUUUGGGUUAAUACCCUGGGCCGAUGACGGUACCGUAAGAAUAAGCACCGGCUAACUACGUGCCAGCCGCCGCCGUAA
rnacentral:rRNA from 1 species